GUCUGUGUGAUAGCUUUUAUAUUUUUUUGCCCGGUGAGAUCCUAUCUUUUUAUCUGUAUUACUAAUAAUUUUCUGUGAGACUUGGAGAACUUUUUGUUCAUUGGUAUAUCUUUAAAAUUAUUCUCUACAGUUGUUGCAGUAGUAAUUGAGGGUUAUUUGAUGGCUGACCUCACCUAUUGCAUGGAACGGUAUCAGAAAAUUUUCUGAGUUAAGUUGUUGUUAGAAGGAAACAAUAUGCUCCACAAUUUGUGAAUGUCAAUUUUGUGUUGUUCAUAUAUAUUCUGAGGAUUUUGUGUAAAUGAGGUAAUACUGUGCUUA
rnacentral:misc_RNA from 1 species